UUGCAUUUUAUAAUUUGACUAUCCAAGUUCUUUCUUGUUGAAAUCCUUGGAAUCUUGCUUCUCAUUCUCCUUUUACAGUUCUUCCUCAACCUUUUUCUUCUGGGCUCGUAAGAGCGAUUCAUAAUAAUCAGCAUGAGCCUUCAUACAUUUUUGUAGAGUUGAGGUUACGUACGUGUUACAGGCCUAAUAGUGAAGUUAAGCUCAUGGAUCAACAAAUAGAUAAGUUCUGGGCUGGUUGACAGAUGAGUUGCUUGAGAGUUUGAAGUAUCAAUAUUUUGUUUGUUUACUUUCAGUUUCACUACUACAAUUUAUUUCUUUUUAUUUCUUAUUUUUAAUAUUUCCUAAAUUCUCUUGAUAGCAAGUUAAUUUUAUAUGUUUAAUGUACCUAAUCUUGGUCAAUUUUUGAAUAGAAUGCUACUAAGCUUGUGAUUUCUUACUUAAAUUUUAUCAGGGACGUAAUUGGAGUGCCGAAGUCUAAAAACAAACAAAAAUGGGGCUAAAUUGGAACAAAAAGUAAGUUGGGGGUUGAAUUCAACUAUUUUUGGGCUAAUAAAAAUAUCAGACUUUUGACUUUGACAAAUUCUAUAUUUAGAAAAAUCUGAUUUAAUGGAUGGUUGUUAAGCAUGAUUCUAGGCAUAAAUCAUGUGAAAUUGGUUCUUUGAGGGGUGUAUAUAAAGGUUUGUAAUUGUGGCAUUAGAACACACUAUAAUUUAAAAAGCAAUUAGCAUAUUCAUGCAUCAGUAGCAUUUGAGCAUUCUGCCAUUUCUUUCUCCUUUUUUAAAUUUUUGUCCAAUUGCCCUUUUGGUCCCCUCCCUUCUUCACCGAUUAUCUUUCAUUAAAAUCCACCCUUAUAAUCCAAUCAAGUAUGAUUAAUUUCAUGCUCAACUAAUCUCCCUUUUAGGCUGGUUAUCAUUCCAGUCAAGAAUCGUAAGAAAUGAGUCCAUGCUAAAACCUUACAACACGGUAUUCAUUAUCUCUCCAGAAUAUGAGAUAGUUACAAUUAUAUCUUAAAGUUAAUUCAAUUUCAACUCAAAAAGCGUGCAUUGGGUUUGAGUUGUUUGGCUUACAGUUAGGAAAACGAGUCAAUCCUCUACCGCAUCCAAGUGGAAAAAGGCCAGUUCGGUACCGUCAAGGGAAACAGUGAUCGGAUUUAAAUGACCCACGUAGUUAAGGCCGUUAAUUCGAGUUGGGCACUUCUAGAUUGCAAGACUACCAAGAUCUUAAAUUGCGGACACGUGUUACGCGGAUAGAUAGUCGAUAAGGGUUGGUUUGUAGGGCGUCUCGGAAUCAACUACACAAGGAAGAGUUGGCGGUUAAGGCAUCCUUGAUCGUUAUAAUCAACUUACCGUUUGGAUAAGAAUUCACUUUCAAGGAUCGAUUCAAGUCUGGAAUAUACCGAGUCUAAGGCUAAAAAAAUUGCAUAUUUGAUUAUCUUAUUAAAUUUCGGUUAUUUAAUUUUAUUUUUUAUAAUUCAACUAUUAUUUUAUUCUAUUUAU
rnacentral:lncRNA from 1 species